GGCAUGCUUAACACAUGCAAGUCGAACGGUAACAGAAGAAGCUUGCUUCUUGCUGACGAGUGGCGGACGGGUGAGUAACGCGUGGGAACAUGCCUAUUAGUUGGGGACAACCUGUGGAAACGCAGGCUAAUACCGAAUACGUACUAAGGUAUAAAGGUGGCCUCUACAUGUAAGCUAUCGCUAAUAGAUUGGCCCGCGUUGGAUUAGCUGGUUGGUGGGGUAAAGGCCUACCAAGGCGACGAUCCAUAGCUGGUUUGAGAGGAUGAUCAGCCACACUGGGACUGAGACACGGCCCAGACUCCUACGGGAGGCAGCAGUGGGGAAUAUUGGACAAUGGGCGCAAGCCUGAUCCAGCAAUGCCGCGUGUGUGAAGAAGGCCUGAGGGUUGUAAAGCACUUUCAAUUGUGAAGAAGGGUAUAAGAUUAAUACUUUUGUACAUUGACGUUAACAAUAGAAGAAGCACCGGCUAACUCUGUGCCAGCAGCCGCGGUAAUACAGAGGGUGCAAGCGUUAAUCGGAAUUACUGGGCGUAAAGCGCGCGUAGGUGGUUUGAUAAGUUGGAUGUGAAAUCCCCGGGCUUAACCUGGGUCGGUCAUUCAAAACUGUCAGACUAGAGUAUGGUAGAGGGUAGUGGAAUUUCUAGUGUAGCGGUGAAAUGCGUAGAUAUUAGAAGGAACACCAGUGGCGAAAGGGCGGCUUCCUG
rnacentral:rRNA from 1 species